GAUGAAGAACGUAGCGAAAUGCGAUAAGUAAUGUGAAUUGCAGAAUUCAGUGAAUCAUCGAAUCUUUGAACGCACAUUGCGCCCGACAGUAUUCUGGCGGGCAUGCCUGUUCGAGCGUCAUUUCAACCAUCAAGCCCCCGGCUUGUGUUGGGGACCUGCGGCUGCCGCAGGCCCUGAAAACCAGUGGCGGGCUCGCUGUCACACCGAGCGUAGUAGAUUUUCAUCUCGCUCAGGGCGUGCUGCGGGUUCCGGCCGUAAAAAGCCUUAUUUACCCAAGGUUGACCUCGGAUCAGGUAGGAAGACCCGCUGAACUUAAGCAUAUCAAUAAGCGGAGG
rnacentral:misc_RNA from 1 species